CCGGGCCCGGCCCCCCCUGGGCGCACGGCCGCCCCCGCGGAGAAGUCCGCGGUGCUUACCCCUGACUCGCGGACCAAAGUCCCCGCUCCUGCGGGCGGCCCCCCAGCCGCGCUUUGCGGAGGGCCGGGUGCCUCCGGGGCUGGGAGCGCGCAGGGCUGGGGUGGGGAUUGGCCAGCUCGCUUCCUUGACCCCUUCCCGACAGCCCGGCUUCUGGCUUCUGCGAAGUGCCCGUGGGUGUUUUUCCCUGCAGUGUUUACUGAGCGCCUCCCGGGUGCCAGGCGCCACGAGAAUUCAGAUAGCGAAGCAAGCCUUCUAUCAGCCAGUGCAAUCUGGUCAACUCUGCUCCGAGCCUCUGCACGUGGUAACUCGUUCCAUCCUCACGGCUGCCUUAUGAAGGAGCUGUGUUACUAUCGCUCAUUUUACAGAUGGGGAAACUGAGGCACAGAGGGGCAACGUGCUGAGAAUCACUCGGCAGGCGUGGGAUUUGAGCCUAGGUACCACAGACCACCAACCACUGGACACCCAAAGAGCCCACAGGGAACCAGAUGGUGGGAAAAAACACUGAGGAAUAAAGUAUUUCAGGUGAGGACAGAGGGAUGGCCAACAACUCUGAGCUAAGCACUGUGAACAAAGCCAGGAGACUGUGUCAAAGAGGCUGAGAGCUGAUCCUUUCUGCUGCCACCCUUAGGGCAGAAUGACAUCCAGUCAUACCCCAGAAAUUUAUGCUGCGUGACUAUUGAAAGAAAGCGGCAACACCAGGGUGGAAAUCCUGGACUUCUGGAGGCCUGGCUCACCAUUUUGUUGGGACGCGUGACCCCUCCUUUUUGGUGGAACCGACGAUCAGCUUGUCCCCUUCCCUCUGUCCUGGGUGGAACAUAAAACCCAGCUGGAACCAGUGAGCGGCUCCCACCUUCCAGGGCAGAUCCUGAGAUGGGAGACAGAAAGAUCUGCAAAUGACAUGCCGGCGGGACCGCAUCUCCUUCUGGCCAGGCCUGCCCAGCUGUUUUAAAAAUCAAACUGACUAUAGGGACAAAGACUCAUCUUUGCAUCCUGGCAUCCUGCACUAUGCCUUCUAAGGCUCUCGAUCAUUCGCAGGAGGAAGGCAAAAAAUUAAAUGAAAAUGAAAAAUGAAAAAUGUGGUGAGUCAAUCCCUUAGGAGAUCACGAUGACCUUGCGUCUUGUCUGGAAACCUCCCCUGGUAGCUUUGCUAUGGUUUUUGAGAACAAAGCAGGGUCCCAAGAAGGAAAAGUAAGUGUAACAAAUUCUCCAUACUAAAACGUGCGCGCUUUACUGAUAUCUAGCUUUAUCUAUUUAUGUAUGUAUUUAUGGCCACUUUUUUAAAAUUUGAUUUUA